AUAGAAAAAAACAUUCACGAAAGCAGCUGACCUUAUGCCAUGUGUCUAAAGCCUUAUUGAUAGACUCCAGCAAGGAUCCUCAAUUCUAACACAGCAAGUGCAACUGACAGUCCAGCAGUUACAAGACAACAGGAGAGAAAUGAGACAAAUAGAAAACAGACACCAAAAAGAGCCUAUCCUGAACAUCUGACCUUUGCUCGGACCCCAUAAUCAUUUAUCCUGAGGGAAAUAGAGCAAGAAUGGGAAUCUGGGAUGCUCAAGACAUUAGUGACAACUAAUUUGCACAGGACUUUGAUGCCUCUGAUUCUCUUCUUAUGGAUAAAGAUGAGAAAGAAUUCCAGGGUGCAGUUUGCUCCAGAAAUGAAAAUUAUUCCAGGAAAGUCAGAGUCAAGACGCUGCUAUAGAUGGAAAGGACAGUUGAGCAGAAACCCCAAGACCCAAAGAAGAAUCAGAUCAGAUGAAACAAGGUGCACUGGCUGAUACUCUGCAUGCCUUGUGUGUGUCAUCACACUGAGGAUGGGGACCGCCUGGAGCAUUCAGAAGAAGAAUCAUCACCCCAGAACUGCCUACGUAUCUCAGCUUUAAAAAUAAAUAUUUGCCCACUAA